CUACAUCAUCCCUUGCUUUGGGAAUUAAUAUGCCCUGUAAAACCCGUUGUUUUUACAGAAGACUCUGUUUAUUUGGAUGCUCUGAACUUUCGACAGAUGUCUGGGCGUGCAGGAAGGCGUGGAGAAGAUCUUAUAGGAAGUGUGAUCUUCUAUGAUAUUCCAUUACCCAAGAUAGACCGGCUCUUGAAGUCUGAUGUGCCCAAGCUGAAGGGUCAGUUUCCCCUAAACAUCACCUUGGUUCUCAGACUCAUGCUGUUGGUUGCCAAAGCAGAUGACAAAGAGGAUGCCAAAGCAAAGGCAUUGUCGCUGCUCCAGUAUUCCUUGAUGUCCUUCAAGCGACCAAAGGUCAAGUGCAUGUUAAAAUUUUACUUCAUAUAUUCUUUGCAAUUCUUGAUCAGAGAGGGAUACCUGAAUCAAGAAUGUGUUCCCGUUGGAUAUGCUGGCCUUGUGUCCCACCUGCACUACCACGAACCUUCAAACUUUGCUUUAGUAAGCAUGCUGGUGAAAGGUCUGUUUCACAAGCUGUGUGUUCCAGUCAUCGUAGAUGGCAAAAAGACAUUUUCUGAAGAUGUGAUGGAAACCUUGGUGGUGGUUUUAGCACAUCUUUUUGGAAAGAGAUACCUUCCUCCCUGUGCGAAAAAGUUUAAGAAGGUGUUUUCUCAUUCAAUGGUGUUCCUCCGCCAUCUUCCAGAGGACUUCGCUGCUGCAGUGAAGGAGUACAAUGCCAGGAUUCGGAAGAGCUUUGGUUCCUUCCUCCUGACCGUUUCUAAGCUGGCUGAUGGGAGCCAGGAAUACCGACUCCCUCUUUCAGAAAUAGACUUUUCAGGUAAAGAGCGUGAAGACUCUGAGCUGGUGUCUCAUCUGAUGCCCGGGACUGAGAGCAGAUCUGCUGUCUCCCCAUUUGCUUGCCUGUCCAAUAUCACGGAUCAGGAUUUGUUUGGUGUUCACAUGACAAAUGACGCUAUCUUACGAACACUCAGUGUGGAUGUCAGCAAUGUUCCUCUCCUUUGCUUGAACAAACGGGAUCAAAGUGGCCGGAAGUAUUUCUUGAACGCCUAUGCACUGGACUUCUACAAGCAUGGUUCCCUGUUCUCACUGGCUUCAGACAACUGGUUGAACAUGGGCGAUGCUUUUCACUUAAUCAGAGACUUCACACUGACCAUUCAGUCCAUCAGAAUUUCACUAAGUGAGCUGUGCGGUGAUGAGGAUGACAAUGUUGUGUUAGCAUUUCAACAACUGAGUGAUGCCUUCAGUAAGAAACUUUGGAAACGAAGAUGACGCUGUCUGUGUUAAACCAGGUCCUAGGAACUUCCUGGAAGAUGAAGACGGCUAAGAGCUCCCUGCACCUUAGCGCUUCAGGAAAGAGGCUUGCAAAUGGCUGUGCAGGAACCACCCUUUCCCAUAAGACUCUGAUAAGACACCCAGCAUUCCCUCGCUUCCCUGUGCCAAUGCUUGAUUCUCCCUCCAAAUUCCCAUUCAUGUCUCCCAAAAAAGCCAGCUGAUGUGUUUUCUUCCCUAAGCAAUCUGGACAUAAUAGCAGUUACCUUGACCUGCUCCUGCUUGACCUUGACCUGCUCCAACUUUACUCAGGAUUCUUCCCUCCUCACAGGGGUCCUGAACCGUGGCCCACCCUCAGACUAAGCCCCGCUGAGUGGCCUCUCCUUAAACAGCUCCCCAGUGACAUCUCAGAUGAUUGUCCCCGAGCGGCUGUGCUUGCACACAUCAGCUGUGACUGGCAGUGUCAGCCCAGGAUGUUCCCCGAGCCACUGUUCACCUCACUCUCCCACAGCUGAUUCUAGAAGUAAAAUACGUUGCCUAGCUAAAGUAUAGGUUGCGUAAUUAUUGAAAGACAUCAUAGCAAAGAAACCCUUUUUUUAAAUACCUGAAUUCUCAACAGAAUCUAACAUUUUCCUUCUAUGAGCAUUUUAGCAUGCAAAAGUAAUAUAUGCUAAAUAGCUCAAACAGUUGCUAUUUUCAAAUUAUUUUAAUUGUACUUACUUGUGGGCUGCAGUGUGAUAAUUUGAUAGAUGUAUGCAAUGACUAUUUUGGCCUUGAAAUGUUCAGAUCAUGAGAAUUUAAAACUAGAAGUCAAGCUCGAUUUAAAAUUAUGUGAUAACAGCCCUUAGAAGGGAGUUGGAAUCUUGACAUUGACUUCAGAAGUCUAAUUAUUGCUGAGAGUUCAUGUUGUCCCCAAGUCCUGUAAUGUGAGUGCUCCAUUUCAUUCCUCCUAUCAGACACUUAGGCUCUGGGUACGUUCCCCCAUCCCCCCCGAGACCAGCAGGAGCAAGCACACAGGGACUAGACCAUAUGCUGUUGAAAAAGUCCCAUGUGGGAUAAGCACAGUAGAACCCUCACCAGGCCAUCCGGCUGGAUCGCCUUGCUCAGCCUCACCCACCACCGCUCCCGACCACCCUGGUGUGUUGUCUGCUCUGGCUGAGCCCGGGAGUCUUCUGAGCUAAACUCACCUGUCCCUGCCUCUGCUUUCCUUCGUGGCUGGAUUGUGGCAUCAGUUUGUGUUCUCUCCCAAAUCUGAGCUGAGUGUGUUGCUGACCUGCUGAAUUGUGGGAGACAGAGGGAAUCGGGCUUUACUGAUGGCACAAAGCAUUUGAGAGUCUUUGAUGCCGAUCUGAAGAAGUGAAGACAAAAACGUGGAGCGAUGGAUUUCCUCACAUUGCUUGGGCAACUGAUUGGCAUUACGCUUGGUUGUUAAGAUGCCUGGCGUUGUGGCAUAGCAGGUAAAGCUGCUGCCUGCAGUGCCAGCACCCCAUAUGGAUGCUGGUUCAAGUCCUGGCUGUUCCACUUCCAAUCCAGCUCUCUGCUAUGGCCUGGGAAAGCCGUAGAAGAUAGCUCAGGUCCUUGGAUGCCUGUACCUGCGUGGGAAACCUGGAAGAAAAUCCUGGCUCCUGGCUUCGGAUCAGCACAGCUCUGGCCAUUGUGGCCAAUUGGGGAGUGAACCAGCAGAUGGAAGACCUCUCUCUCUCUCUUUGCCUCUCCUCUCUCUGUGUAACUCUGACUUCCAAAUAAAUAAAUACAUCUUUAAAAAAAAGCCUUUGUCCCACCUAGUAGUGCUUUUGUUCAGUGCCUGGCUCUGGCUCCUGAUUCCAGCUUCCUGCUAAUGUGGACCCCUGGUGGUGGGGGUGUGGGUGGUUGGUGAUUGCUUAGGUAGUUAGAUCUCUGCCAUUCACAUGGAGAACCAACUUUGGUUCCUGUCUCUUGGUUUUUGUCACAGAUGGGAGGUCUCAGCCUGUCAGUUUCUCUGCUUCUCAAAAUAAAAAUUAGCAGGAGAUAAGUUGCCUUUAACAGAGUGUUGUCAAAUAUGCAUAUCUUAUUAGGACAUCCAAGUCUCUUGUGAACUUGAUAUGCAUAUGUCUGGCUGCAUUUUGCUGCUUUAUAUGCAUUUUAUUUUAUUUAUGUAUUUUUUUAUUUAGUAAAUAUAAAUUUCCAAAGUACAGUUUAUGGAUUGCAUUGGCUCCCCCCCAUAAUUUCCCUCCCACUCGCACCCCUCCCAUCUUCUGCUCCCUCUCCCAUUCCAUUCCCAUCAAGAUUCAUUUUCAAUUAUCUUUAUAUACAGAAGAUCAAUUCAGUAUAUAUUAAGUAAAGAUUUCAUCAGUUUGCACCCACACAGAAACACAAAGUGUAAAAAUACUAUUUCAGUACUAGUUAUAGCAUUACUUCACAUUGGACAACACAUUAAGGACAGAUCCCACAUGAGAAUUAAGUACACAGUGACUCCUGUUGUUGACUUAAAAAUUUGACACUCUUGUUUAUGGCAUCAGUAAUCUCCCUAGGCCCUAGUCAUGAGUUGUCAAGGCUAUGGAAGCCUUUUGGGUUCGCCGACUUUGAUCUUAUUCUGACAGGGUCAUAGUCAAAGUGGAAGUUCUCUCCUCCCUUCAGAGAAAGGUACCUCCUUCUUUGAUGGCCCUGUUCUUUCCACUGGGAUCUCACUCGC